rnacentral:rRNA from 1 species
GACCUUUAGUUUGAAACCCCGAAACCAGGUGAGCUACCCCGAGACAGCCUAUUGAGGGCCAACCCGUCUCUGUGGCAAAAGAGUGGGAAGAGCUCCGGGUAGAAGUGACAGACCUACCGAACCUGGUGAUAGCUGGUUGCCUAAGAAAUGGAUAGAAGUUCAGCCUCGUGCUCCCCAAAUCAAACAAACGUUAACAAGACGACAAGAGAAACACACGAGAGUUAGUUAAAGGGGGUACAGCCCCUUUGACAAAGGAUACAACCUUUCUAGGAGGAUAAAGAUCAUAAUACAUAAAACAUACUGUUCUAGUGGGCCUAAAAGCAGCCACCUAAACAGAAAGCGUUAAAGCUCAGACAGAUAAAAGUUUAUUAUCCUGAUAAUAUAUCUUAUUCCCCUAAAUACUAUUAGGCCAACCCAUGCCUACAUGGAAGAGAUUAUGCUAAAAUGAGUAACAAGAAGGCCCGCCCUUCUCCAAGCACAAGUGUAAGCCAAAUCGGACCAACCAUUGGCAAUUAACGAACUCAACCCAAGAGAGCAAUGUGGAUUACAAAAAAACCUAGAAAAACCCACAAUCUAACUAUCGUUACCCCCACACUGGAGUGCAACAAAGGAAAGACUAAAAGAAAAGGAAGGAACUCGGCAAACACAAGCCUCGCCUGUUUACCAAAAACAUCGCCUCCUGCAACACAACCAAGUAUAGGAGGUCCAGCCUGCCCAGUGACUACAAGUUCAACGGCCGCGGUAUUUUGACCGUGCAAAGGUAGCGCAAUCACUUGUCUUUUAAAUAGAGACCUGUAUGAAUGGCCAAACGAGGGCUUAACUGUCUCCCUUUUCCAGUCAGUGAAAUUGAUCUACCCGUGCAGAAGCGGGUAUAAUAAUACAAGACGAGAAGACCCUUUGGAGCUUAAGGUACAAAACUCAACCACGUUAAGCAACUCAAUAAAAAGUGAAAACUUUGUGGAACAUGAGAUUUUACCUUCGGUUGGGGCGACCACGGAGGAAAGAAGAGCCUCCAGGUGGACCGGGAAAAUUUCCUAAAACCAAGAGAGACAUCUCUAAGCCACAGAACAUCUGACCAAAUAUGAUCCGGCUAAUACAAGCCGAUCGACGAACCAAGUUACCCUAGGGAUAACAGCGCAAUCCUCUCCCAGAGUCCAUAUCGACGAGGGGGUUUACGACCUCGAUGUUGGAUCAGGACAUCCUAAUGGUGCAGCCG